rnacentral:lncRNA from 1 species
AAGGGACAGGUGCCCCGACCAUAGUACUCUGAAAUACCACGCGGGCCAGAUUGGGUGGGUGACCGCAGCCCAUCUUCUCAGGGUGCACUCUACUCACCUUGCCUGACAGGGAGCAGAAGGUGGGGAAGCCAGCAACUAAAAACAUCUCCCUGACAGCAGCUCUGGGGUAAGACAGGUCUAAGGCGUUCCAGGGAAUGAGUGAACAGUAUUUAACACAGAAAAUACCCAAAGCUAGGAAUGAAUGUCCUUGAGGUCCAGUUCUAAUGUGAUUUCUAAGCAGUUAACAAUGGAGGCAGAAGAGGGAGAAGGGACCGAUACUUGUUAGCUCUAUUGAGUGCCACUCUGUGCUGGGUGCUUGCUUAGUACAUUUUGGAAAUUAACCAUUGAAGAAAGAAUGCUGGUUAAGGCUCUCUUUUUUGACCUCCAGUAGGUGCCCUGCAAUGACCUGCCCUGAGAAUAGAAGAUUGAAAAAUGGCCAAGGCGGGUAGGAGCUCUGAGCUGCCUGACCCAGGGAGCCCUGGCUUUCUCAUUAGCCUCACCAGUGAGUGUGAAGAACAUUGAUGACACUGAAAAGAACCUGAGGAACGUUCCAGUUUUUGUUGUGGAGAGUGUACUGGCUCAAAGUCCUGGUUUGCAGAAUUACAGCAGCCGUAGCUCCAGGCAGCACUCUUACCAUCGUCUACCAAGCAAAUUCUGCAGGAGAAGGGUUCUGAGUGUUCCUUGCAUUAACAUCCUGUACACCAGACCCUGAAGUUAGACUCCCCGGACGACUAUUUCAGUCUUCUGCUCACUUGUCUCUUCUGUUUUUCUUCUAGUCAUGCUUGCCGGAUGUCUAUGGAGACCUCCGGGUGGAAGUCCAUGGUGGUGUCACACCCUCACUUGGUGGCAGAAGCCUACCUCUCUCUGGCUUCGGCACAGUGCCCUUUCUUGGGGCCCCGCGCAAGCGCCUGAAGCAGUCCUAAGACCCCACCUGUCAUAAGACUCCAUUUAUUUUCCAAAAGCAGCAGCUACUGUUGCUGCCAUUGAACAUCCUGUGUAGACAGCAGUCUGUGGGUUUU